rnacentral:rRNA from 1 species
UACGUAGGGGUCGAGCGUUGUCCGGAGUUACUGGGCGUAAAGCGUGUGCAGGCGGCUCAUUGCGCCCGGCGUGAAAGCCCCCGGCUCAACCGGGGAGGGUCGUCGGGGACGGGUGAGCUUGAGGGGUAUCAGGGGCAGGUAGAAUUCCCGGUGUAGUGGUGAAAUGCGUAGAGAUCGGGAGGAAUACCCGUGGCGAAGGCGGCCUGCUGGGAUACACCUGACGCUGAGACACGAAGGCGUGGGGAGCGAACGGG